UCCCAAGGCUCGCUUCGG
rnacentral:snRNA from 1 species